AGCGAACGCUGGCGGCAGGCCUAACACAUGCAAGUCGAACGAACCCUUCGGGGUUAGUGGCGGACGGGUGAGUAACACGUGGGAACGUACCUUUAGGUUCGGAACAACACAGGGAAACUUGUGCUAAUGCCGAAUGUGCCCUUCGGGGAAAGGAUUUAUCGCCUUUAGAGCGGCCCGCGUCUGAUUAGCUUGUUGGUGAGGUAAAGGCUCACCAAGGCUUCGAUCAGUAGCUGGUCUGAGAGGAUGAUCAGCCACACUGGGACUGAGACACGGCCCAGACUCCUACGGGAGGCAGCAGUGGGGAAUCUUGCGCAAUGGGCGAAAGCCUGACGCAGCCAUGCCGCGUGAAUGAUGAAGGUCUUAGGAUUGUAAAAUUCUUUCACCGGGGAAGAUAAUGACGGUACCCGGAGAAGAAGCCCCGGCUAACUUCGUGCCAGCAGCCGCGGUAAGGCACGACUGU
rnacentral:rRNA from 1 species